UCCCACGCGCCGCUCACUAAGCGGCUCAGCUAAGGUGCGGUUUUCUUUCGCUUUCAGCUUCGCUGACGUCCCUGGAGUGGGGCUUUCCUCCAGCGCCCAGAAUAUUGCUCCCGAGGCACAUAAGCACAAAGAAGCACAAACCUGCUCACCGCGGCUCCGCGAAGCCUUCGCUUUCUUCCUGUGUCUUGUCACUCUUUAUAGAAACUCGAAGUCAGAAUCACAAGGGAAGACAACCGCCUGCGCGAAUGGGCUGGACGCGGAGGCGGGGAAACGCUGCGGCAGGGGAAUAAGUGGAUUCAGUCGGGAGGAGAGCUGGUGGAGAGGAGAGGCUCGCGUGCGGCGCCAGGACCAGCGGUGUGGAUUUCUCCGCGCGUGGGAGAGUCGUGCGCACCACGUAGAUCGCUCUGGCAGAGGAAUGGCGUGCUGUCCUCUUCCCAGGUCUGCCCCACGCUUCCACGCAGUUCCAGAUCGAGAUGGCGUUUUCUAAUAAGCCUUUGACACUCAGCAGAGGGACAUUUCAGUUUACUGAAACGCCUCAGCUUGUAGACGGCUCGCUACAGAGCGCAUGCAGAAAAGGCAGAAAAAUAACAUGCAGGGGACGUUAAAACACUUUCUCCUCCAGGAGCCCCACCUUUCAUUCUUAAUUUUUGUUGCGGGUCUUUGUGUAUGUAUUAAGUGUGUGAACUCAUGUAUCGUGUCACACACACGGCAGUCGGAAGGCAAUAUGCAGGAGUUUGCUCCACCUCCCACCAUGCGACUUCUGAAUCUAGCUGUCGCUCACUGUUUGAGGGAUCGGAAGUCCUUUCUUUCAGACACUAGAAACGGGAAAUUGUCUUUUAGCCUAGGAGCACAAAUGUCUUCUGACUCAGCAUACUUGAGUUCUGAGGCAGGCCACAGCUAACAGGGCAUAGCUGCACAUCACCAGGGCGGCCAGGAGAGGGAGCACGAGAGCCCUGGGGAAAGGAUGCUGCUGGCCUGGUUAACUGGCAGGAGCUUUCAUAGAAAGAAAACCUCUAGUAGAUUGUGGGCAAAGAGAAAACAAAUUUAAGUCCAAAUAUCAAGAAAAUGAAACCGGGAAGUGACUUUCCCCUGAAGAAAACGGCGGAGUAUUGUAAACAGCCGGUGCUGUGGGUGUGGGGAGAACACUGUGAGAUGCACAAAGGGGGUGCGGGGAGAAUGUGGAGCCUAAAGCUGCCCAGGUGGCUGUUUCUGGGAGGGCCACGUAGAGCCGCCUCGGACUCAGUGACCAGCCCUCAGCCUGGAAGACCUUUAAUUUGAACCAGAUGUGAUCGGUGUUGCUGAAGAAAGGGGCCAAACCAACUGACACGCAGGAGCCUGGUCAUCUGACCCAGGUCAGUAGAACACUAACCCAGUUAGGAUAAUGCCUCCCCUGAGGACUCCACCCAGUGACUAACUCAGGCACCAAACACACCGCCUUGCCGAGAAGCCUAGAAUUUGGAGAAAGGGAUUUAGAAGAUCCCAUGAUAAUCUGCUCCUAACCUGGAAAACGGUGCUGGUAUUUUUAAAAAGGAAAGUGGAGGAAAUUAGUUUAAGCUAAAUGUGUCCAUCCACUGGUCUAAAUAAUUUAAAGUAUAAGCUCGAUCAUCUCAGGAGCCCCUUGAGACUCUUUGAACAGAGAUAAAAAAAAGGUCAGAUAUACAAAGUCAAUGCUUUAGAGAGAGUUGAGAUGAGAUAUAGGCUUAUCAUAAAGGAAGUAAGACCUGAAACAGCUAUGGGGUUUACCACGAGAGAGGGGACGUGGUGGGGGCUUGGUAGAACAGCAGCUGAGAUGACAAAGGCCCAGGUCAACUCAACUUCAUUGUUUGUCUCUUUUGCUUGGUUUGAUUUUUGAGACUCCAUCAGGCCUGGCUGUGGUGUUCAAGGGGGCCUCUGAGAUGAACUGUUGGAGGUCAGAAGUUUAUGAGGAGAGUUAUUAAUGCCACAGACACAUGUACAACAAACAAUAGCUUGUCCUAGGCUCUGAGAAGACCGCAAGCCCCAGCACCAGAGACAGAAAGCAUGGAAAGAGUGCGGUCUGAGUGGAAGCGGACCCAUGUGACAGAGUCUGUGUCCCCAUAGCUCUCUGAGGAGGCAGGGGUGGGGGUGGGGUUCAGAUGACAAAGCAAGAAACUGCCUUGAGGAAUGAUUGUCACAGUUCUGUGGUCGAAGGUCACAUUCCAGACCCUGUUUGCUAAGAAAAGAAUGUUUUUCAUUGCUAUCUCCAAAUGUUUGUAAGUUUUCAUUACUGCCUGCAGCUGCUUGUUUCUGCAAACAUCUGUCUAACUGUGGUUUAAAAAGAAAUAAUUCUUUUGGUGGGCAUGAGAGUACAUUGAGAUGGUCCCACUGUUGCCUAACUUGUCAAAGCUGUGGGAAGCUGUUGGGGACUGCUGGACCUUUACAAAGCACGGCUGGGUUCCUCCUUGAGUUUCUCCCUUUCUCCAAGUGCCAGCUUGAGUCUUCCUGGUUAGAAUUUCCAUGAAGUGAUCUUGAUGAAGUCCUACUGCAGAAGGAGAGAGGAAGAUAUAUAUUCUUAAAAUGCAGCCUAGCUCUGAAGAGGCUAAACGUCCUGCAGCAAACCAAGCCAGCCUGGCUUCUUCUAAAGAAGAAAAUAAAACAGGAAAAGUAGGGAGGGGAGGGGAAAGAACAGAAACAGAGAGGAGAGAGGGCUGGUAUAUAGACUAGGUAAGCAAUCUAGUCUGUUGACUGGCUGGCUACAAAAAGUGAGGCUGGCCCCUUGUGUGGUUGCUUUCUCUUCAGAACUCAACAUGGUGCCAUCUUGGGCUUUGCUCCUACAGCCAUGCACCAGGGCAGAGUAAUACAGAGGUGGUCAGCUGUGGUAAUGGAGCUAUUAACACUCCCUGGUAGAUGGGAGAUCCUUACAUGAGAGUCCAGGCAUUGUUUCUCUGUCUCCUCCCUCAAAGGCAAAUCAUUUUGGGAGAUGCUAGAAUGCCUGGAAAGAAGAAGUGUUGCCAUCUGGGGGCUACCAUCUUGAUCUGGCUCAAUAACACUUAAAGAAUGAAAAGGCAGCAGUUAAAGAAUUAAAAGACAGUAGCAUCAGGGGAUCAUGUGCAGUUUAUAUGUGUGUAUGUGAAGGUUGAUAUCACACAUCUUCCUUAAACACAUCCCCCACCACCCCCCUUUUUUUUUUUUUUCAGCUUAAGGGCCUUGCCGGUUUGGCUAGACUGCCUGGUCAGAAAAUCACCAGGAUCUGAAGUGACCAGGUGCUGGGAUGACCAUCAGCGACCUCCAGUGCCCAGCCUUCAUAACAGCCGAUGUCAGACAUGGGUAUUCGCUGUUGCAUGGUAAACACUUCCCCAGCUGACCCACCUCGGCAGCACGUGGUUUUUAAUUCAUCCACUCAACUCUGUACCUUCUACUUGGAGGAUUCAACAUACUUGUUUUGAAGGUUUUUAUUCAUAAGUGAGGAUGAACGCCUACAUUUUAAAUAUUUUUAUGGAAAUUAUUUUUUUUCAAAAUUAUUUUAACUUAAAAAUAGAAAACAUGUUAGAAGGGGGGAAAGGAAAGAAAACCACAAAACAUGUAGGCAGAUUUUUUUCCUGGACAGACUUCUCACCCUCACCUGUCCUCUUGUUCCCAAGGUGAGAAACUACUCAGCCACCGUAUCAAUGCUAUUUAUUGGGACAUGGAUCUGCUUCACAUGGAAGCCAAUGCAUCCCAUGAUAGAAAACUCUAUUGCUGGGACCCUGGCAAUCUUCUCCUUUCUACCAGUGGGGUGGAUCUUUGAGCCAAAGCAACCAGGUUCUUUAUGAACUGCCGUCUUGACUCAACAAAUGGCAUUACCUGAUCUGUGAUUGUUUGUGGGACAGUGGUUCACAAAGGCAGACAGAGAUAAAUAUUGAUUCCUGGUUGUCCUACAAAUCAUGUCUUCCUUUUCAUCACCCCUAGGAUUUAUAGUUGCGUGCUUGUGGUUUUCUAAAGCAAUAAAUACAUUUUCUUUUUCAUUUCCAUA